rnacentral:rRNA from 1 species
UACGAAGGGGGCGAGCGUUAUUCGGAAUCACUGGGCGUAAAGCGUGCGUAGGCUGUUCUGCAAGUCAGGAGUAGAAACGCCCAAGGCUCGAACCUUGGAAGCGUCUCUUGAAACUGCAGGACUCGGAUUUGGGAGAGGGAUAGCGGAAUUGUCAGUGUAGCAGUGAAAUGCGUAGAUAUUGACAGGAACACCAGUGGCGCAACG